GGCUGCGCGCCGGCCGCCAUUUUGAAUCGCCUCAGCGCGGCCGAGUGAACCUAUCGUGCACACCCCUUCUCUCUGCCCCCACGUGGAAAUCGAAGGAGUUACGAGCAGUCAGUACCUUACAGGAGCAGAGCUGUCGUGCUUCCUUAUCAUCUUUGAAACUCGUUACUGCUUUUUUCUGCAAAGGUCAUAUGCGCGUUGCACCUAGACUCAGUGAUCAUGUCUCUGGAGUGGUAGUAAGAUAAAGUUGUCCCUCAUCUUAACUGAGGAUGUAAGUACUUGCCUCUCAUCACCUCACAUCUCUUAUGUCUACCCUGAAGCUGGAAAUGUUGAGUGCAGCAAAUGCAGAAAUAUCUGAACUUGUGUUAAUGUAAUUAGCUCAGUAUCAAGAAGAGCAAAGCCACAAUUAUUCAAGCUUUGAUACAGGCAAGUUACACCUGAAUAGACUGUGAGAGGCUGAGGUAAACUUGUACGGAAGUACUUGGCACCAUGACCCCACUGACACCAGUUCCAUGCUGUCAAGAUGAGAAUUAGGUCCUUAUCAAGAUGAGAACUAGGCACUGAACACUUACCAUCAACCAAAAAUUGCACCUCUGCAGAUAUUUUCUGUGACGGGGUCAGAGACUGAUAAAUAUCAGCGCUUAUUCUGCUGGAUUUCUCAGAUGGGUAUCACUGUAAAACAAUUAAGAUUGGCACCAGUUUCUCCUUACCUUUGUUUGAAAAUCACUGCUACCUCUGCAAGACAGCUUGCAUAUUACUAUUAAAGUAAAUAAAAGCAAAAUGGCUUUGAAGCAUUA